UAAGAGGUAUUUACAUUGGAGGGC
rnacentral:piRNA from 1 species